GUGAACUGGUUGGUUUACGUAUUGCUGUAGUAACAGAGGUUUGAUCAUAGCUCCAGAUUGAACGCUGGCGGGAUGCUUUACGUAGUCGAACGGCAGCACGGACUUCGGUCAGGUGGCGGAAGUGGCGAACGGGUGUUUAAUCAUCAGACGGUACUGGCCGGCGGGAGUAACUACACUGGCAUCGCUAACCACCAUACAUACUAAGGGGAAAGCAGGGGACCUUCGGGCCUCGCACUAUUGAAGCGGCCGAUAUCGGAUUAGCUAGUUGGUGAGGUAACGGCUCGCAAGGCGACGAUCGUAGCUGGUUUGAGAGGACGACCAGCCACACUGGGACUGAGACACUGUGGCCAGACUCUACGGAGGCAGCGGUGAAAUUUUGGACAACUAAUGGAAACCCUGAUCCAGCCAUCCCGCGUGCGUGAAGCGCUUCGGGUUGUAGCACUUUUGGCAGGAAAGAAACGGCACAGGAUAAUACCCCGUGCAACUGACGGUACCUGCAGAAUAAGCACCGGCUAACUACAUGCCAGCAGCCGCGGUAAUACGUAGUGCAAGCGUUAAUCGGAAUUACUGGGCGUAAGCGUGCGCAGGCGGUUCGGAAAGAAGAUGUGAAAUCCCAGAGCUUAACUUUGGAACUGUAUUUUUAACUUCUACCGAGCUAGAGUGUGUCAGAGGAGGUGGAAUUCCGCGUGUAGCAGUGGAAAUGCGUAGAUAUGCGGAGGAACACCGACGAAAGCAACCUCCUCGUUUCUGCAAGCGGCGCUCAUACUUUUUGCGAAGCGUGGGGAGCAAGCAGGACGAUUACUGGCUGAUUCCCCCUUCACUAAACGAUGUCAACUAACAUUGGGGCCUUCGGGCGCGGGCAGCGCAACUAACGCGUGAAGUUGUGACCGCCUGGAAAUACGGUCGCAAGAUUAAAACUCAAAGGAAUUGACGGGGACCCGCACAAGCGGUGGAUGAUGUGGAUUAAUUCGAUGCAACGCGAAAAACCUUACCUACCCUUGACAUGUCUGGAAUUGCGAAGAGAUUUGGGAGUGCUCAUAGAGAACCGGAACACAGGUGCGCUGCAUGGCUGUCGUCAGCUCGUGUCGUGAGAUGUUGGGUUAAGUCCCGCAACAGGCGCAACCCUUGUCAUUAGUUGCUACGAAGAACUCCAUGCCAGGGCUGGAAGUAGUCAAUGGAAGAUGGGAUGGCGUCAAGUCCUCAUGGCCUGCUUGGGUAGGGCUUCUGCGUGCCUUACAAUGAACGGGUGGGAGUCACCAGCCGCGAGGAGCAAUCCCGAAACCCGAUCGUAGUCCGGAUCGCAGUCUGCAACUCGACUGCGUGAAGUCGGAAUCGCGCUAGUAAUCGCGGAUCAUGUCGCGGUGAAUACGUUCCCGGGUCUUGUACACACCGCCCGUCACACCAUGGGAGUGGGUUUUACCAGAAGUAGUUAGCCUAACCGUGGAAGGCGAAUUACGUGGAUUGGCGGUGAAGUCGUAACAAGGUAA
rnacentral:rRNA from 1 species